rfam:Dipodomys ordii contig_60182, whole genome shotgun sequence.
GGUAAUGUGGCUUAGUGGUAGAGUGCUUGCCUAGCAUGCAUGAAGCCCUGGGUUCAAUUCCUCAGUACCA